rnacentral:rRNA from 1 species
AUAACUGCAGACGGUGGAUC